rnacentral:rRNA from 1 species
AUUGAACGCUGGCGGCAGGCCUACCACAUGCAAGUAGAGCGCGCGGCAGACGGGUGUGUAAUAUAUGGGGGCUUCCCGCUAGAGGGGGAUAUCUACUGGAAACGCUAGCUAAUACCGCAUAAUCUCGCAUAAGCCAUAUGGGAUUAGUUCGUAGGUGAGGUAAUGGCUAACCUCGGAGACGAUCCCUAGCUGGUCUGAGAGGAUGAUCAGCCACACUGGGACUGAGACACGGCCCAGACUCCUACGGAGGCAGCAGUGGGGAAUAUUGCACAAUGGGCGCAAGCCUGAUGCAGCCAUGCCGCGUGUAUGAAGAAGGCCCUAGGGUUGUAAAGUACUGUCAGUCGGGAGGCGUUACCGACAGAAGAAGCACCGGCUAACUCCGUGCCAGCAGCCGCGGUAAUUC